rnacentral:rRNA from 1 species
GACGAACCGUGCGAACGUUGUUCGGAAUCACUGGGCUUAAAGGGCGCGUAGGCGGACUCGUAAGUCUGUGGUGAAAGCCCCCAGCUCAACUGGGGAAGGGCCUUGGAUACUGCGAGUCUGGAGGAGGGUAGGGGCAUCUGGAACGCUGGGUGGAGCGGUGAAAUGCGUUGAUAUCCAGCGGAACUCCGGUGGCGAAGGCGAGGUGCUGGACCCUUUCUGACGCUGAGGCGCGAAAGCCAGGGGAGCGAACGGGAUUAGAUACCCCGGUAGUCCUGGCCCUAAACGAUGAGGACUAGGUAGUGGACUUAACAUGGGUUCACUGCCGGAGCAAAAGUGCUAAGUCCUCCGCCUGGGGAGUAUGGUCGCAAGGCUGAA